AUACGUAGGUGACAAGCGUUAUCCGGAUUUACUGCGCGUAAAGGGCGUGUAGGCGGUCUUGCAAGUCAGAAGUGAAAUUCCUGAGCUCAACUCGGGCGCUGCUUCUGAAACUGCAGGACUUGAGUGCUGGAGGGGAUAGCGGAAUUCCUAGUGGAGCGGUAAAAUGCGCAGAUAUUAGGAAGAACACCGGUGGCGAAGGCGGCUAUCUGGACAAUAACUGACACUGAGGCGCGAAAACGUGCGCAGCAAACAGGAAGAGAUACCCUGGGAUUCCACGCCGUAAACGAUGAAUACUAGGUGUAGGGGGUAUCGACUCCCGCUGUGCCGCAGUUAACACAAUAAGUAUUCCGCCUGGGGAGUACGGCCGCAAGGUUGAAACUCAAAGGAAUUGACGGGG
rnacentral:rRNA from 1 species